GGAAGUAAAAGUGUAACAAGGUUUCCGUAGGUGAACCUGCGGAAGGAUCAUUAAAGAGAAUAUGCCCUUCGGGGUAGAUCUCCCACCCUUUGUUUAUAUUACCUUUGUUGCUUUGGCAGGCCCGUCUUCGGACCACCGGCUUCGGCUGGUCAGUGCUUGCCAGAGGACCCAAAACUCUUAUUAUUAAUGUCGUCUGAGUACUAUAUAAUAGUUAAAACUUUCAACAACGGAUCUCUUGGUUCUG
rnacentral:misc_RNA from 1 species